GAUACGUGACAUGGAAGAGCUAAAAUAAAAGUGACGAUGAGGUCAAACCUACUGUCGAAGGAUGACUUGCUUGCUGCGCAAGAAACGCACAAGGCAUGGCUUGACAUCCUUGAGACUCCUUCGGCUUAACCAAACCACAAUUAAGGCCACAUGGGCUGCACCUCCGUUGACUCACAACUCACGGUGGUACAGAUCCAGAACCGGUGGUUAUGAGGGUUGAGGAACAUGGCGGCUCCGGUUGCUCGUCACUCCUUCACGUCUCCAACUCUCGGAUCCAUUACGUAACACCUGCGAGCGAAUCAAUGGUGGCUAUCGAUGGCACGUCCUCUCCUCCGGUGAUGACAAGGUUGCUACUCCAGUGGUGGUGACUCGCCGUGUUGAUCCUUGAUGAUGAUAAAGAGAACUCCUCUUCCCUUCACACACGGUCAUAGAAAGCAUGAAGGAAUGAAGCAACAAUAGAAAAUUGGAGAGUUGAUAAUAGAGGAGGAAGAAUGAGAAAGUAAGAAAAACCUAGGAAAAGAUGUUUUCGAAAUACUUUUUAGAAAAAAACAUGAAAAAGCAUUUGUAGACUAUUUGGAAACCUUCAUUAAUCAAUCAUAUAAAACCCUUUUGCUAAUAUUUUAAUCUAAAUAAAAAAUUUUGAAUAUUGUUUUCCGAUUUAGGAAAAAUGUUUUAAAGAAAAAAAUUGAAGAAAUGAAAAUUUACCAAAAGAAGGAGGCAUUAAUUGGUGACUUGAGUCAUAGCAGUUGCUCCCUUGAUGAUGAUGAUGAUGACAAGUCGAAUUAGAACAAGAGGCUACGUUGUUGAAAGAGACAGAUACGAACAUCAUCGGAGAUCGAGAACAUUGACGAAACUAAUCAAAAGGUCGGAACGGAACGAAUAUGAUCUCUCCAAUCUGUCGUCUCCGCCAUUACUUGUGCUCGCUAUAGGUUGAAGCUUUACGACAACAACAACGACGGACUUGUUCUCUUCUCUUCGUGAAGAGUCUGGCAG
rnacentral:lncRNA from 1 species